UACAGAGGUCCCAAGCGUUGUUCGGAUUCACUGGGCGUAAAGGGUGCGUAGGUGGCGGGGUAAGUCGGAUGUGAAAUCUCGGAGCUCAACUCCGAAAUGGCAUUGGAAACUACCCUGCUAGAGGGUCGGAGGGGGGACUGGAAUACUUGGUGUAGCAGUGAAAUGCGUAGAUAUCAAGUGGAACACCAGUGGCGAAGGCGAGUCCCUGGACAAUACCUGACACUGAGGCACGAAAGCUAGGGGAGCAAACAGG
rnacentral:rRNA from 1 species